GAUGAACGCUGGCGGCGUGCCUAAUACAUGCAAGUCGAGCGAACGGACGAGAAGCUUGCUUCUCUGAUGUUAGCGGCGGACGGGUGAGUAACACGUGGAUAACCUACCUAUCAUACUGGUAUAACUUCGGGACACCGGCGCUAAUACCGUAUAAUCUUUUGAACCGCAUUGUUCAAUAGUGAAAGACGGUCUUUCUGUCACUUCUAGAUGCAUCCCCGCUGCAUUAGCUAGUUGGUAAGGUAACGGCUUACCACGGCAACGAUGCAUAGACGACCUGAGAGAGGGAUAGGCGACACUAGAGGGGAGACAGGGACAAGACGCCUAAGAGAGGCAGCAGUAGGGAAUCGUACGCAAUGGGCGAGAGUAUGACGGAGCAAGGCCGCGUGAGAGAUAAAGGCCUUGGGAGCGUAAAAAUCGGUUAUGAGGGAAGAACAUAUGUGGAAGGAACUGUGCAGAGCGUGACGGUAAUGAAUCAGAAAGCCACGGCUAACUACGUG
rnacentral:rRNA from 1 species